UUUUUUGUUUGUUUUUU
rnacentral:sRNA from 1 species